rnacentral:rRNA from 1 species
UUGGUAGGGUAACGGCCUACCAAGGGUACGAUGGGUAGCUGGUCUGAGAGGAUGAUCAGCCACACUGGAACUGAGACACGGUUCAGACUCCUACGGGAGGCAGCAGUGGGGAAUAUUGGACAAUGGGCGAAAGCCUGAUCCAGCCACGCCGCGUGGGUGAUGAAGGCCUUCGGGUUGUAAAGCCCUGUCGGGAGGGACGAAUACUGACGGUACCUCCCAAGAAAGCACCGGCUAACUCCGUGCCAGCAGCCGCGGUAAUACGGAGGGUGCAAGCGUUGCUCGGAAUUACUGGGCGUAAAGCGUACGCAGGCGGUCUGAUAAGUCGGGUGUGAAAGCCCCAGGCUCAACCUGGGAACUGCAUCCGAAACUGCCAGACUUGAGUUCGGGAGAGGGAAGUGGAAUUCCUGGUGUAGAGGUG